UCGGCGAGCUGGUCGGCGUCGGUGGCGGUCACCGUCUCACCCCCGGCCCCUCCGCUCACGCCGGGGUGGAGGGCGGGUUCCGCGUCCGCACCGCCGGU
rnacentral:tRNA from 1 species